rnacentral:rRNA from 1 species
UUCGAAGAGUUUACUUGGAGAAAUUUUUAGUGGCGGACGGGUGAGUAACGCGUGGGUAACCUACCCAUAAAACCGGGACAACCCUUGGAAACGAGGGCUAAUACCGAAUAAUCUUUUGAUGCGGCAUCGUAUUAAAAGGAAAGGUGGCCUCUGUAUAUGCUACCGAUUAUGGAUGGACCCGCGUCUGAUUAGCUAGUUGGUGGGGUAAAGGCCUACCAAGGCGACGAUCAGUAGCCGGCCUGAGAGGGUGAACGGCCACACUGGGACUGAGACACGGCCCAGACUCCUACGGGAGGCAGCAGUGGGGAAUCUUCCGCAAUGGACGAAAGUCUGACGGAGCAACGCCGCGUGUAUGAUGAAGGUCUUCGGAUUGUAAAGUACUGUCUUUGGGGAAGAAUGAUGUAUUUGAAAAUAUUGAGUACAUAUGACGGUACCCAAGGAGGAAGCCCCGGCUAACUACGUGCCAGCAGCCGCGGUAAUACGUAGGGGGCAAGCGUUGUCCGGAAUUAUUGGGCGUAAAGGGCGCGUAGGCGGAUAGUUAAGUCCGGUGUGAAAGAUCAGGGCUCAACCCUGAGAGUGCAUCGGAAACUGGUUAUCUUGAGGACAGGAGAGGAAAGUGGAAUUCCACGUGUAGCGGUGAAAUGCGUAGAUAUGUGGAGGAACACCAGUGGCGAAGGCGACUUUCUGGACUGUAACUGACGCUGAGGCGCGAAAGCGUGGGGAGCAAACAGGAUUAGAUACCCUGGUAGUCCACGCUGUAAACGAUGAGUGCUAGGUGUAGGAGGUAUCGACCCCCCCUGUGCCGCAGUUAACACAAUAAGCACUC